UUAUGUUGAGAAUAGUGUUGUAAUUAGUUAUAAGAAACUGACAUAGUUACGUAUUCUUUCGAUUUACAAAGAUAAAAGUACUGAAACCAGAUAACCGCAUUUAAUUAAAAAACAACUUGUAUUCACAAAAAAAGAUUAAAGUAGUCAACAUUAUGGAAAAGAUUACAUUUCUUACAGACUUUGAGAGAGCAACUAUUUGUCAACUUAUCUGUUAAAAGACUGGAUUGCAGCUCCUUAUCAUUCGUAACUGAGUCUAUAUCCUAAUAGUCCUGUCCCCAUUUCCUACCAACUCCCACCUACACCUGUCAAUAGCAUCCUGUCUACCGGCACAAAUCUUACUUAACUGAAUCACAUUUUGAAAAACUGAACUACCAGUAUCAAAUAAUUCUUUGGUAUUAUGAAACAUGUGGUUACACUACACUAUAUGAUCAAUGAUGGUUUAAAUUCAAAACGUUUAAUGGUUAAAUAUCAUGGAAAGAAUUGCUUUUUUGUAGAAUAAAAAGAUGCAAAUUGGGUACAAAUAAACGAUAACUGAUGAACCAAGUAUAAUUGUUUGUAAUGGAUAUCUGAUGAACAAAAUACAAUGGUUUGUUAAGAAGUGAUUAAAAGAUAUACAAAGCAUUUUAAAGUCUUUUAUGAAUGUGUAUAUAUAUGUGUGAGUGCGUGUGUGUGUGUGCAUGUGUGUGUGUGUGUGUGUGUGUGUGUGUGUGUGUGUGUGUGUGUGUGUGUGUGUGUGUGUGUGUGUGUGUGUAAGUGAUUGCGUGUGUGUGUAACUAACAACUACAAUGGUGCACAUUCAGUUAACCAUUCUGAAUUGAUAUUAAGUACUUAAUAAAACAAAAAUUAAACUUUAACUCUUUAAAAUUCUAAAUAAAAGUUAUACUUUUAUAACAGUUUUUCAAAUUUUAUUAUAUUUUUUAUUAUAUAUUUAUUAAAUGUAUUAGACAUUUACAUAGAAGUAGUAAACUUUGAUCUACAACAAUAAAGUUAAUAAGUCAUUAUAUAUACAGUGGUGGAAUGAGACUUCUUGGGGCCAGGGGCUAUUUUUGU